rnacentral:misc_RNA from 1 species
UGCCUCUCUCUCUCUCUCUCUCGUGUCUAAUUCUUGUACACACAAAUGUCCUUGAGCAUGUAUGCAUGCUUGGUUGAAUUGGUGUUAAGGUUUAGUUGAUUAGAUUGAGUCUUUUUGACUUUUGUCCUGGUUUAGCUCAAAACCAUUGACCCAGAUAUCUACCUGGUCUUGUUCCUUAUUGCUGUUUUUACUGAGGAAGUAUAUAUUAUUUUCCUACUAUGUCCAUGCUAAUUAGUUCUUCAAAUUAUGCCAAUGUCUUUUUGAAUCAGUGGCUUGUAAAUGCUUAUACUUUAUUUGAGAUUUAUUAUUUUUGCAAAAACUGAAUUUCAAAUCUUGUGCCAGGCCGUCUUGCUAAUACUAAUAAAUGGUGGGUUCACAUUGAUGCCUUUUCAGCCAUGAAUGGAAUAUCUCGGUUUUGUGAAAAUGAUUAUCCAUGGAGGUAUAGUGGAUUUUAUCGGCAAGACGUUUUCAUAGAGUCUCCAUCUCUUCCUCUCUCUCAGUAUUUACAUGCUAUAAUCAUUAUUAUGGUAUGGAAUGUUUGUAUAUCAACAAAAUAAGCUGCGUCAUAAAAUGCAGAUAUUCCAAAGAAGAAGGGAUUACUCUGGAUGAAUUUCGUCACAGAAAUUUUACAUACCUUAU